rnacentral:rRNA from 1 species
UACGUAGGGCGCAAGCGUUGUCCGGAAUUAUUGGGCGUAAAGAGCUCGUAGGCGGUUUGUCGCGUCGGCCGUGAAAACUUGGGGCUUAACUCCAAGCUUGCGGUCGAUACGGGCAGACUUGAGUUCGGCAGGGGAGACUGGAAUUCCUGGUGUAGCGGUGAAAUGCGCAGAUAUCAGGAGGAACACCGGUGGCGAAGGCGGGUCUCUGGGCCGAUACUGACGCUGAGGAGCGAAAGCGUGGGGGAGCGAACAGG